CAGGACGAACGCUGGCGGCGUGCUUCAUACAUGCAAAGUCGAACGAGAAGCUGGACUUCGGUCAAGUGGAAAAGUGGCGGACGGGUGAGUAAUAUGUAGAGAAUCUGACCCUUGAGUGGGGGACAACAGAGGGAAACUUCUGCUAAUACCCCAUAUGAGCUAACUUGAAAUAGCUAUCUUGAAAAACUCCGGUGCUCAAGGAUGAGUCUGCAUCUGAUUAGCUAGUUGGCGGUGUAAUGGACCACCAAGGCGACGAUCAGUAGCUGGUUUGAGAGGAUGAUCAGCCACAAUGGGACUGAGACACGGCCCAUACUCCUACGGGAGGCAGCAGUAGGGAAUUUUGCGCAAUGGGCGAAAGCCCUGACGCAGCAACGCCGCGUGAACGAUUAAGCCCUUCGGGGUGUAAAGUUCUGUCAGUAGGGACGAAUUUUGACGGUACCUACAGAGGAAGCACCGGCUAACUCCGUGCCAGCCGCCGC
rnacentral:rRNA from 1 species